AGCUCAGUUGGUAGAGCGCUUCUCUAGAAAUGGAGAGGUCCCUGGUUCUAUACCAGG
rnacentral:tRNA from 1 species